UACAUAAACGGUUACCUUACAGCUGUUGGCCAACUCAACUACAGCUAUCUUUCAACCAUUCUAUAGCUAAUCUCCAUAAAGAUAAACAACCCAUAAUCUCCAUACAGCUGACCAUUCUGUUAUAACAAACUAACAGCCUAACAAACUCUCUCUAUUACUGAGCAGCUAAGUAACUUUCAUCUAUAUAAAGAAGGGCAAGGUACUCUCUGGA
rnacentral:lncRNA from 1 species